GAGUGAUUCCAUACUUUUUUCCUCUACUUGAUUUGGAAAAUGACAUGCCAUUAAUAAAAAAAAAAAAAAGUC